AAUUUUGGACAAUGGGCGCAAGCCUGAUCCAGCCAUGCCGCGUGCAGGAUGAAGGCCUUCGGGUUGUAAACUGCUUUUGUACGGAACGAAAAGACUCUUUCUAAUAAAGAGGGUCCAUGACGGUACCGUAAGAAUAAGCACCGGCUAACUACGUGCCAGCAGCCGCG
rnacentral:rRNA from 1 species